AUUGAACGCUGGCGGCAUGCCUUACACAUGCAAGUCGAACGGCAGCACGGGAGCUUGCUCCUGGUGGCGAGUGGCGAACGGGUGAGUAAUGCAUCGGAACGUACCCGGAAGUGGGGGAUAACGUAGCGAAAGUUACGCUAAUACCGCAUAUUCUGUGAGCAGGAAAGAGGGGGAUCGCAAGACCUCUCGCUUUCGGAGCGGCCGAUGUCGGAUUAGCUAGUUGGUGGGGUAAAGGCCUACCAAGGCGACGAUCCGUAGCGGGUCUGAGAGGAUGAUCCGCCACACUGGAACUGAGACACGGUCCAGACUCCUACGGGAGGCAGCAGUGGGGAAUUUUGGACAAUGGGGGCAACCCUGAUCCAGCCAUGCCGCGUGAGUGAAGAAGGCCUUCGGGUUGUAAAGCUCUUUCGGCCGGAAAGAAAUCGCACAGGCUAAUACCUUGUGUGGAUGACGGUACCGGCAUAAGAAGCACCGGCUAACUACGUGCCAGCCGCCGCCGUAACAC
rnacentral:rRNA from 1 species